UGAACAUAUCAGACGACACAGUGAUUCUUCAAACAGUUCUUGUUUAUUCACAGGCCAGAACAGAACUGAACAGCAAACAGGUCAGCCGGCCUGCUUUUAUAGGCAGCCGGCUGUCAACAUUGUACAGUGGUGCCCCGCAAGACGAACGCCUCGCAAGACGAAAAACUCGCAAGACGAAAGGUUUUUUCGUUUUCGAGUUGCUUCGCAAGACGAAUGUCCCUAUGGGCUUGCUUCGCAAGACGAAAACGUCUUGCAAGUUUGUUUCCUUUUUUCGUAAAACCGUUAAAACCCAGGGUGCAUUGCUGGAAGAGGUGCAGUUGCGACUUGACCUUGAGGAGCAACACAUUGCACGCGGUGUGGUGGCCUUUCUGAGCUUUUUAAAGAGUUUGCUGGAUUUUUGAAGCUUUUCCAAAACUUCUUCUGCAGCUGUUUGGUAAGUUAAACUUUUGAAACUUUUUUUGGGCUUUUUGGAUUUUGGGUUGGGGUGUUUAGAAUUCAAGGACUUGGUGUUGGGGAGGGGUUUGCAAGAAUCUGGGAGCUUGUGUGGUUUUUUUCUGCAUUUUAUGAUUUUCUGUGACCAUUGGGCCAUGUUUUUUUUUUUUUUUUUAAAUCUGGCUUUGAAUUUUUGAAUUUCUGUGUGCUGGGUGGAUGGGGGAACAGCUGGGGAGGGGUUUGCAAGAAUCUGGGAGCUUGUGUGUCUUUUUUCUGCAUUUUUAUGAUUUUCUGUGACCAUUGGGCCAUGUUUAUUUUUUUAAAAAAAACAUCUGGGUUUUAAAUUUCUGUGUGCUGGGUGGCUGGGGGAAACAGCUGGGGAGGGGUUUGCAAGAAUCUGGGAGCUUGUGUGCUUUUUUUUGAAUUUUUAUGGUUUUCUGUGACCAUUGGGCCAUGUUGGUUUUUUUUGAAAAAAAAUUCUGGGUUUUGAAUUUCUGUGUGCUGGGUGGCUGGGGGAACAGUUGAGGAGGGGUUUGCAAGAGUUGGGGAGGGGUUUGCAACAGUUGGGGAGGGGCUGGGGGAACAGUUGAGGUUUUUGAAGACUUUGGUGAUUUUUAAAGCUUUCCCAAAACUUCUUUUGCAGCCAUUUGAGGAUUUUGAAGACUUUGGUGAUUUGCAGCCAUUUCGUAAGUUAAACUUUUAAAAAAAAUUUCGGGGUUUUUGGAUUUUGGGUUGGGUGUUUGGAAUUCAAGGACUUGGUUCUGGGUUUGAAUUGCUGUUUUUUUUUUUUCUUUUUCUGAGUUUACAAAGGUAACAGCUGUGCUGCCAUGGGACCCAAGAAGACUGCUGCUGCUGCGGAGCCCGGCGAGAGGAAGAAGGAGAAGGUGACGCUGGAGAUGAAGAAGGAGAUCAUCCGGAAGCACGAAGGUGGAAUGCGUGUGACGGACCUCGCCAAGAAGUACGGCAGGAACCCAUCGACCAUCGGGACCAUCCUGAAGAUGAGGGAGAAGAUCCUUGCGACUGAUGCAGCCAAGGGAGUCACCAGGAUCGUGAAGAACCGCCCAGCUGUUCUGGAGGAGGUCGAGAAGUUGCUGCUCAUCUGGUUAGAAGAGAAGCAGCGUGCAGGGGACACAGUGACUGAGGCC
rnacentral:lncRNA from 1 species